GUGAGUACCGUGGGGUUUCAGUCAGGGCCUUCAGUAAACAACUGUUAGAUACCUGUACAGCCCUGCUGCCCCUGUCGGCCCACCGCUGCUGUCAGACAACAUCUCCAAGAUGCUAUACACCGCAGGACUAGAUGCCCAUCCCAAGGUUUCUAGAGUUACACCAGCUCCAGACUGAAUCCAAACUCACUUGUGAAGACUUCAGAUGACACCAACGCUCACAAAGACUACAGACGACGGCGACUGUACAUGAACACACAAAACAAAUAUUAUCCUUAUUUUGCCUAUAAGAGUAAAUCUGAUGAUUUUCAACCUGCUUUAUUGCUACGUCUCUUAUAUCUGUAAAUGAACAGUAUUUACUCUCUGAGUUACGUGGACCUACAUGUCCCCUUUUAUUUGUAAGCAGCACUCUGCAGGAUGAUGCAAAAUGAAAUGACGAGUUUUGACGAAAUGACACAAUGCAGUAUCUAAAUGAAAACAUGCUGUUUUGCAUCAGUUUUGUGGCAAAUAAACGGUAUCUUGGAGAAAGAAUAAACAUUGUUCUUUUACAAAUGUUCUUUUACGAAUGAAUUUUUUUUUACUUACCCUUUAAAAAUGUUGAAAGACAAUGUUUAUGUUAA